AAGGAUUAAGAAGGGUCAGGCUAAGCAAAAUAAUUGAAAAUAGGAAUAUACUCUCUCUACUGUCUUGGUGCUGCUUUCCCAUUUUUGUCAAAAGGGCAGAAGAAGAAGAAAUGGGAUGCUUCCUUUGUUCUGUAAAAUCAAAGAAGAAGCAAUUUGGAAAGUUUUCUGCUCAUCAGAUCUCAUCCUCAAAAAAAUCAAGGUAAAUACUUCACUGGGUGAAAAGGACAGCUCCAGAAAUGGUUAAUCUGGACACAUAGCGGCACAUACGUUUACAUUUCGUGAAUUAGCUGCUGCAACCAAAUAUUUUAGGGCAGAUUGUCUCUUGGGAGAGGGAGGCUUUGGUAGCGUAUAUAAAGGGCGAUUAGAGAGAACUAAUCAGUUGUUUUGUGGAGGUGGAAAUGAGUAUUAUUGCUGAAGAGCUUCCUGUUGCACCAGAAGUCCUUGCAAUACCCACAUGCCCUUCAAAGGUAGAUUGCUUUAGCUGGCUGGUAUGCAGAAAGGCUUGCCUGACUCAUGAGGCUUUGCAGAAAAGGGGAUGGCAAUUUUGCUCAAGAUCUGUCAUGUGUGAGCAGGAAGCAGAAGUUAAUGAUCAUUUAUUUCUUCAUUGUAAGGCAGCUAUGAGCCUAUGGAACAUAUUUUUUUAUUUGUUAGGAGUCAAGUAGGUGAUGCCCAGUACAACAAAGGAACCCCUAAACAAUUGGAAUGGUAUUGGUAACAGAGGAAGAAAAGAGUACAGAAAAGAGCACUGGUGGAGAACUAUCCCAGCAUCAUCUGGUGGACUCUUUGGAAAGAAAGGAAUUCAAGGUGUUUUGAUGGACAGAAGACUAAUCUACAGAAGAUUAGAAUGAAUUGUAUAAGCCUUCUUUUUUUUUGGUUUAAACAAAAUCUGAUAAGAGGAGAGAGUAGAUUUUAUAGGAAACUUGUAAAGAAUACCCUUAGGAUGUGGGAUGUAAAUUUCCAAUUCAUUAUUUUUUGGUGUGAAUAUAAAGUUGCCAUUUUCUAAAAAGAAAAGGAGUCCUUGCAAUA